GUGCUCAUUUUGUAACACAUAUACUAGUACUGGAAUAAGACUAAAGAUUAACUUACUCUCUGCACCAGGAUGACACACAAAUUUGUAAAGUGUUCCAGAUUUUU
ensembl:snRNA U6 U6 spliceosomal RNA